ensembl:lncRNA
GUUGAGUUUACUUAACUUUUUUAAGGCAACCAGUUUGCUCAAUUCUUUUAAGAAAUGGGGAAUGAAAAUUUGAGUUAGCAUAAAUUAAACCAUCAAAUCAAAGAUCUCAGUUCGAAUGUAGAUGUGUCCACAAAUUAAGACACAUCUCCAAAAAAGUUGAGUUAUGUUUAAAAAUAUCCAAUUUAAUGUAAAACAGACUUAAAUCUUUUGAGUUCAAACUACUUCUGGAUUUACAGUGUGGGUGGAUUUAACUGGCUUAGCUGUAUCUCCGUUUUAGAGAUUGUUUCCAAAAACAACAUUUUCACAUGGAUAGGAGACCAAAAGACUGACAAAAACCUUACUUUAAAAUAUCUAGAUACAUGAUUAAUAUCUAGAUCCCCAACCCACAGCCCUCCAGCCCCCAGUCGGACUCCUGGAGCAUGGUCUGUACUCACAAAACAGAUAUCACCUGGACAUCAGUAGCAGCACGUGUGACGCAAAACCAGAAGAAAUGCUGAAAUUCAAGUUUAUAGCUUCAGAUGUUUCGUGCCAGUUCUGCUUAAACAGGUCCCACUGUUUGCAUUGAAAAGCAAGCAUUAAGUAUGUCUUUUCCUCGUUUAACUAUAUAAAUAACUGUAUUCCAUUUUCUGUGAAGAUUCGUCUUUCCACUAAGACAUGGCAGCUUCAGAAGAAGUCAUCAUGAUCCCUGAUUCAGAUCAACAACAACACUGUACAAAAAGCAGAAUUGAACUAGAAUAGAUUCUGUUUUCGGUGAAGACUCAUCUCUACACUAAGACAUGACAUCUUUAGAAGAAGUCAUCUUGAUCCCUGAUUCUCAUCAUCAACAUCCUACAAAAAGCAAAACUGGUCAGUGUUUGGUCAUCAGUGCAGUUUUACUGGGACUCAUUGCAGGUCUGUUUGCAGGAGGACUCUUCGGUGUGAUGAUUGAUGAAACGACAUUCCGUAUAAAAAAACUGACUCCAUUAAAAGACGUGGAGAACAACUGGUAUUCCACAGCAAUACUAAUGUCAACCUUGGGUUUAGUGGCUGUCAUGAUUUCAUCACACAUUGCAAUGGUACUGGGAUACGGAAUGUAUCGCUUCCUGAUCAACAAGAAAGGACAGCGGGCCAAGGCUAAGGUCUUAAAACACUCAGCACCCGUAGCAUUUAUGGGAAUCACUGUCUCUGGAGCUACAGUGGGGGCCUCCUACAGCAAAUGUAUGCUGGAGUUCGGACUGUUUGAAACAUUUCUGCUUUCGUGUGGAUUUCUUUUCAUUUUGCCGACUUUCGUAAACUGUCUAGCUUUGAUUCACAGUGAUGAACAUGCCAUUUAUUUUGCCGGUUCUUAUGUGUUCAUAAUAAUAUAUGGAAUUGCUUUUUAUUCCCUAAUGUGGUCCCUUUUCUUAGGAUUGGCUGGUGUGUUCUUUCAUUUCUUUGUCCUGGUUUUAGUUUUAUAUGCAUAUUAUUAUUGCGUACAUGAGGAGUUUAAGCUGAAACAUGUAAUGGUUUCAACUGUUUAUCCAAUAAUAUUGCUUUUAUUUACUAUGCUUUUGUUUGUUGGAACUGGAAUAGUGACAAUGUCUGCAGCUGAAAAGGGGCCAGUUAUUGGAUUUCUGGCCACACAUCUGAUGGAAGCUGCACUGGGGCACUUGGUGUAUCUCCAGGCUGGUGGUGGGGGUGGUGCAGGGGCUUGGAAGGCAUGUGUAGGUGCAUGGGCUGCAGGAGGUGCUACUUUAGCAAUUAUACAGAAUUCCACUGUAAUGUUAAAUAUAGGUGCAAGAUUAUGGGGUGUGAUUGGGGUUUCUGGAGCAACUGGUGUGGCCCUCUCUUCAGUGGGGGAACUGGGGGAGAGAUACGGAAAGGUGUCAAACCAGCAGUGGGGAGGAAUGUUGGGCAGGGCAGCGGCGAUAGUGGGAGCAGCAGCUGGAGCUUUUCUUACAGGAGGGACACGAGAUUUAAGCUAUGGAUUUUUUAAAUCAGUGUGUGCAGCUAUAAUUCCCGGGAUGCCGUUUGUAGAAUACAUACUUAAUGUCUUCUAUCGUGGCCUACAAUAUCUAUGUCCAAAAAAUGUAAGGAUGUUCCAUCAUUGCAUUUUUUGCUCUAAUAAUUACAUUUAAAAUUGAAUGAAGUGUAAAUAAAAAUGUGGAUAUGUGAAUGAUGGUGUAAUGA